GAUGAACGCUGGCGGCGUGCCUAAUACAUGCAAGUCGAGCGAACAGACGAGGAGCUUGCUCCUCUGACGUUAGCGGCGGACGGGUGAGUAACACGUGGAUACCUACCUAUAAGACUGGGAUAACUUCGGGAAACCGGAGCUAAUACCGGAUAAUAUAUUGAACCGCCUGGUUCAAUAGUGAAAGACGGUUUUGCUGUCACUUAUAGAUGGGUCCGCGCCGCAUUAGCUAGUUGGUAAGGUAACGGCUUACCAAGGCGACGAUGCGUAGCCGACCUGAGAGGGUGAUCGGCCACACUGGAACUGAGACACGGUCCAGACUCCUACGGGAGGCAGCAGUAGGGAAUCUUCCGAAAUGGGCGAAAGCCUGACGGAGCAACGCCGCGUGAGUGAUGAAGGUCUUCGGAUCGUAAAACUCUGUUAUUAGGGAAGAACAAAUGUGUAAGUAACUAUGCACGUCUUGACGGUACCUAAUCAGAAAGCCACGGCUAACUACGUG
rnacentral:rRNA from 1 species